CCUUUUAACCAUGGCAAUAAUCCCCUACUUUUUUUUAGCUCAAUCUAAUUCUGGCGACACAGAAUAAUUUCUUGAAGUACAUUUUUAUUAUCCAUUACAUUAUGUAUACAUUCUAGACAUCCAGCAUUGCCUUCAGGAUGAACAGUCUCCCAAGGCUGGCUUGUUUUUCUUGACUUCCCUAAUCUACCUCGUCUUGAUGUCCUGAUGGUCUCUGUGCCCAUAGGUUUGCUUCCUUCAUUUCCUCAAGCACAGUGUGCCUUCGGUCCCAGGGUAUUCUCACCGCAGAGCUCAUGCCAGAUUGCCUCUCAGCAACCGGAAUUUACAUGUCACUCAGUGAGGAACAAGGUCAAACUGACCUACCCUCAAACAAUUCUCUCUCUGCACUCUUCUGUUAUGUGUGGGCUGGAUUAUUUGAUCUUGACCCUACACCUAAAGCUCCAUAAAAGUCGGUCCACGUUUGUUUUGUUCAUUGUUCAAUUUGGGGUUUAGCACAAUGUCAACCAUAUACUGGAUCCUACAUCCUCACUUUUUGGAUAAACAAAUAACUAAGUUAAUGAAUAAAGUGCAAAAUCUUAAAAUGGG
rnacentral:lncRNA from 1 species